UGGGGAAUCUUGCGCAAUGCGCGAAAGCGUGACGCAGCAACGCCGCGUGGGGGAAGAAGGCCUUCGGGUUGUAAACCCCUUUCAGGAGGGACGAAGCCUAGGUCGUUAAUAGCGGUCCUAGGUGACGGUACCUCCAGAAGAAGCCCCGGCUAACUACGUGCCAGCAGCCGCGGUAAUACGUAGGGGGCAAGCGUUGUCCGGAAUUAUUGGGCGUAAAGAGCGUGUAGGCGGUCCGAUAAGUCGGCUGUGAAAGUCCAGGGCUCAACUCUGGAAUGCCGGCCGAUACUGUCGGACUAGAGUCCGGAAGAGGCAAGUGGAAUUCCCGGUGUAGCGGUGAAAUGCGCAGAUAUCGGGAGGAACACCAACGGCGAAGGCAGCUUGCUGGGACGGCACUGACGCUGAGACGCGAAAGCGUGGGGAGCAAACAG
rnacentral:rRNA from 1 species